AGAGUUUGAUCCUGGCUCAGGAUGAACGCUGGCGGCGUGCUUAGCACAUGCAAGUCGAACGAAGCACCUUGAUUUGAUUCUUCGGAUGAAGAUCUUGGUGACUGAGUGGCGGACGGGUGAGUAACGCGUGGGUAACCUGCCUCAUACAGGGGGAUAACAGUUAGAAAUGACUGCUAAUACCGCAUAAGACCACAGCACCGCAUGGUGCAGGGGUAAAAACUCCGGUGGUAUGAGAUGGACCCGCGUCUGAUAAGGUAGUUGGUGGGGUAACGGCCUACCAAGCCGACGAUCAGUAGCCGACCUGCGAGGGUGACCGGCCACAUUGGGACUGAGACACGGCCCAAACUCCUACGGGAGGCAGCAGUGGGGAAUAUUGCACAAUGGGGGAAACCCUGAUGCAGCGACGCCGCGUGAGCGAUGAAGUAUAUCGGUAUGUAAAGCUCUAUCAGCAGGGAAGAAAAUGACGGUACCUGACUAAGAAGCACCGGCUAAAUACGUGCCAGCAGCCGCGGUAAUACGUAUGGUGCAAGCGUUAUCCGGAUUUACUGGGUGUAAAGGGAGCGUAGACGGAGUGGCAAGUCUGAUGUGAAAACCCGGGGCUCAACCCCGGGACUGCAUUGGAAACUGUCAAUCUAGAGUACCGGAGAGGUAAGCGGAAUUCCUAGUGUAGCGGUGAAAUGCGUAGAUAUUAGGAGGAACACCAGUGGCGAAGGCGGCUUACUGGACGGUAACUGACGUUGAGGCUCGAAAGCGUGGGGAGCAAACAGGAUUAGAUACCCUGGUAGUCCACGCCGUAAACGAUGAUUACUAGGUGUCGGGCAGCAAAGCUGUUCGGUGCCGCAGCAAACGCAAUAAGUAGUCCACCUGGGGAGUACGUUCGCAAGAAUGAAACUCAAAGGAAUUGACGGGGACCCGCACAAGCGGUGGAGCAUGUGGUUUAAUUCGAAGCAACGCGAAGAACCUUACCUGCUCUUGACAUCUCCCUGACCGGCAAGUAAUGUUGCCUUUCCUUCGGGACAGGGAUGACAGGUGGUGCAUGGUUGUCGUCAGCUCGUGUCGUGAGAUGUUGGGUUAGGUCCCGCAACGAGCGCAACCCCUAUCUUUAGUAGCAGCGGUUCGGCCGGGCACUCUAGAGAGACUGCCAGGGAUAACCUGGAGGAAGGUGGGGAUGACGUCAAAUCAUCAUGCCCCUUAUGAGCAGGGCUACACACGUGCUACAAUGGCGUAAACAAAGGGAGGCAGAACCGCGAGGUCGAGCAAAUCCCAAAAAUAACGUCUCAGUUCGGAUUGUAGUCUGCAACUCGACUACAUGAAGCUGGAAUCGCUAGUAAUCGCGAAUCAGAAUGUCGCGGUGAAUACGUUCCCGGGUCUUGUACACACCGCCCGUCACACCAUGGGAGUCAGUAACGCCCGAAGUCAGUGACCCAACCGUAAGGAGGGAGCUGCCGAAGGUGGGACCGAUAACUGGGGUGAAGUCGUAACAAGGUA
rnacentral:rRNA from 1 species